UCAUAGUGAAGUUUGCAUGCCCUGUGGAGGCGAGUCCUUUUUUGGCUGAUCCACGUAUUUGAUUGUUUCUGUUUUAUUUCUUCUUUCUUUCUGCUGCAACGUGCGGUACCGAAAAGGUCCUGGGAGGUAGUGUCCUGGCCAGACAUCCACCAUCAAGUGGUAUCAGAGCGAGGCGGUACAAAGAUGCAGAUUACAGUGGUGGUGAGCA
rnacentral:lncRNA from 1 species